rnacentral:lncRNA from 1 species
GAAUACGUACAUCAACAUCUGUACGCGGUACGAACUACGCCCGUACUAGGAUCUGUUUCCAUUUUACUCCCCGUAUUUCUUCUUCCUAUAAUAAGAUUUCCCUGUUUUCAUUUUUUUGCAGAUUUCUUCAUCUCUCCUACAAUGUUCUUAUAUCUUUGUUUUUCCCUCUUUUAAGCUUGGUGGCUGUCUCUGAUUUCUCCUUGCUUAUUUCUCUCUCAAUUUUUCAGCUGCAGUUUGUUUAUGGAUUUUGGGUUUUUGACAAAACCGUUUUUUAAUUUUGAUUUCAGGUGAAAUGGGUUUCUCCCUUUCCAAUAAUUUUCAGUUGACUUUUCUAUCUUACAUUUUCUUGAUUUCGUGCAUUAAUUCUUGUGGUUAUUGAUUUGCUUUCGUAUAUGAAAUAAAUUACUAAUUUAGAAUUCCAAAUUCCAAUGACUUACGCAACCCAUCUGCGGAUUUGUCUUCUUCAAUCGUUUUCUGUUGUGUUACUUCACUGGUUUUAUGUUUUCUC